GCGCCCAUAGCUCAAUGGAUAGAGCAACAGCCUUCUAAGCUGUAGGCUGCACGUUCGAGUCGUGCUGGGCGCACCA
rnacentral:tRNA from 1 species